UAACAAGGAUUCCCCUAGUAACUGCGAGUGAAGCGGGAAAAGCUCAAAUUUAAAAUCUGGCAGUCUUUGGCUGUCCGAGUUGUAGUCUGGAGAAGUGCUUUCUGUGCUGGACCGUGUAUAAGUCUCUUGGAACAGAGCGUCAUAGAGGGUGAGAAUCCCGUCUUUGACACGGACUACCAGUGCUUUGUGAUGCGCUCUCAAAGAGUCGAGUUGUUUGGGAAUGCAGCUCAAAAUGGGUGGUGAAUUCCAUCUAAAGCUAAAUAUUGGCGAGAGACCGAUAGCGAACAAGUACCGUGAGGGAAAGAUGAAAAGCACUUUGGAAAGAGAGUUAAACAGUACGUGAAAUUGCUGAAAGGGAAACACUUGAAGUCAGUCAUGUUAGCCAGAACUCAGCCUUGCUUUUGCUUGGUGCAUUUUCUGGUUGACAGGUCAGCAUCAAUUUUGACCAUUGGAAAAAGGCUAAAGUAAUGUGGCACCCUCGGGUGUGUUAUAGACUUUAGUCACAUACAGUGGUUGGGAUUGAGGAACGCAGCGCGCCGUAAGGCAGGGGUUUACCCACUUUCGCGCUUAGGAUGCUGGCAU
rnacentral:rRNA from 1 species